AUGGGGUGCAGCAGGCGCGAAAACUCCGCAAUGCACGAAAGUGUGACGGGGCUACCCCGAGUGCCGUCCGCUGAGGAUGGCUUUUCCUCGGUGUAACUAGCCGGGGGAAUAAGGAGAGGGCAAGACUGGUGUCAGCCGCCGCGGUAAUACCAGCUCUCCGAGUGGUAGGGAUGAUUAUUGGGCUUAAAACGUCCGUAGCCGGCUUAGCAAGUCUCCUGUUAAAUUCAGCGACCUAAUCGUUGAGCCGCGGGAGAUACUACUAGGCUAGGAGGCGGGAGAGGCCGACGGUACUUCCGGGGUAGGGGUGAAAUCCUAUAAUCCCGGGCGGACCACCAGUGGCGAAGGCUGUCGGCUAGAACGCGCUCGACGGUGAGGGACGAAAGCUGGGGGAGCGAACCGGAUUAGAUACCCGGGUAGUCCCAGCCGUAAACGAUGCGGGCUAGGUGUUGGGGUGGCUACGUGCCACUUCGGUGCCGCAGGGAAGCCAUUAAGCCUGCCGCCUGGGGAGUACGGCCGCAAGGCUGAAACUUAAAGGAAUUGGCGGGGGAGCAC
rnacentral:rRNA from 1 species